ACGGGUGUAGCUCAAUUGGUAGAGCGAAGGUCUCCAAAACCUUAGGCUGCGGGUUCGAUUCCUGCCACCCGUGCCA
rnacentral:tRNA from 2 species